rnacentral:rRNA from 1 species
GGCAACGCCGUGACCGAAGGUGCGGGAAGACGUAGGAUCCACUCGUUAUCCGGAAACAUUGGGGUUACAGGGGCCGUAGGCGGUCUUAUAAGUCAGUGGUGAAAGCCCAUCGCUCAACGAUGGAACUGCCAUUGAUACUGUAAGACUUGAAUGCUUAGGAAGUAACUAGAAUAUGUAGUGUAGCGGUGAAAUGCUUAGAUAUUACAUGGAAUACCAAUUGCGAAGGCAGGUUACUACUAAGUGGUUGACGCUGAUGGACGAAAGCGUGGGGAGCGAACAGGAUUAGAUACCCCAGUAGUC